rnacentral:rRNA from 1 species
UACGGGGGGGCAAGCGUUGUUCGGAAUUACUGGGCGUAAAGGCUCGUAGGCGGCCAACUAAGUCAGACGUGAAAUCCCUCGGCUUAACCGGGGAACUGCGUCUGAUACUGGAUGGCUUGAGUUUGGAGAGGGAUGCGGAAUUCCAGGUGUAGCGGUGAAAUGCGUAGAUAUUCGGAAGAACACCGGUGGCGAAGGCGACCUUCUGGGCCGCCACUGACGCUGAGGCACGAAAGCGUGGGGAGCAAACGG